rfam:Echinococcus multilocularis genomic scaffold, pathogen_EmW_scaffold_07
AAGUGCAUUGAAAUGGCAGUCACGUGGUGAGACAGGUUGCCUUGAGGAUGUGUGGAUUAAUGUGAAUCGCAGGCUGCUUUGAACGUCGACAUCAUGAACGCAUAUUGCGGCCAUAGGCUUGCCUGUGGCCACGUCUGUCCGAGCGUCG